UACGUAGGGUGCGAGCGUUGUCCGGAAUUAUUGGGCGUAAAGAGCUCGUAGGCGGUUUUGUUGCGUCGGCUGUGAAAACCUGAGGCUCAACCUCAGGCCUGCAGUCGAUACGAGCAGACUAGAGUGUUGCAGGGGAGACUGGAAUUCCUGGUGUAGCGGUGAAAUGCGCAGAUAUCAGGAGGAACACCGGUGGCGAAGGCGGGGUCUCUGGGCAACAACUGACGCUGAGGAGCGAAAGCGUGGGGGAGCAAAACAGGG
rnacentral:rRNA from 1 species